CUCCGUAGCCGGACGGUGGAAAUCCCCAGGUCGGUGUGGGCCAGUGGGAACUGGCUGGCACUCCUACUCCCUGCUGAGGCCCAGGCGCGCGCCCGGCGGGGUGGAGGGUCCGGGGGUAUGCGCACCUGUGGCCUGGUCGGCCGCCCUGCCAGCUUUCUGCCUAUUCUUGCCGUCCAAGGCUUCCUUCCUCUCCAACCCCCCUUUUUGGGGUGUGGGUAUUUGUUUUAACCCAACCAGCCCCUUUGCUCGUCUCUACAGGCCCAGGGCUCAAACUGCGCCUCUGGGGUUCCUGGCGCGCGGCGAUCAGGGGCCAUCGAAAGGCCAGAGGAGGGCCCAACGCAGACGUUUGUUUUCAUCUUCUCCAAGGCGGAUCUCGCAGGCCAGAGAAGUGGGUCCCGCUUACCGCGGGGCUGUUACCAAAAAAGGCCUUUCUCUCGCUGGAGCGCUUGGCGGCGCGCGUUGCAGCAGGGUGACGCGAGGUUCAGCCCGGGCCUCCUUGAAGGUUGAGCCAGCUGACUGCAGGGCUGCCAGGCCAAGAGCCCCCCCUCCGCAACACACACACACACCCGCGCCCCGUCUCUGCCACAAAACGGCGGGGGCAGGAGAGAGAGUGCAGGGAGCUUCGAAGUGCGCGCCUGGCGACCUUCUCACCACUAGUAACCUUGGGCUAUGGUGCUCCGGCAAGGCCAGGUGGAAAGCUGACCUUUUGCUCCAGUUUAGAGCAGGGUUCUCUGAGGAUGCCAGCCCAGAUGGCAAGCUGGGUGGGGAAAGCGACAGUAGGAAGGAACUUUGGGAAGAUGAUGCCGCCGUUUGGCGCCCGGCUCUGCUAGUCUCUGCUUGUCUCCCAGACCCCAUGGACAGAGUUCUUUGAGUCUCUACACCUGGCAGUUUACGUUGAGGCUCCUCCACCUCCACCACCCCCCUCCCAAAUCCUUUCCAGUUCCUUUCCACCGUUGUCAUAGUUUUGUUCCACGGGACUCUUCUUCAGGGAGAAAACCCACCUCCAGAACACUGGAGUUCUAGCCUCUCACCGUCUCUCACACAUCCCCAAACGGCCAUCUCAGGCAACAAGAGAUACCACAAAUGAUGUUGAUUCUUUUUUUUGGUUGGGGGGGGGGGGGCGGUUUGGAGACAGCUGUGUUUUAUAAAUGAAAGGAUUAUGAGUCUGUAAUGGAAGUCUGUUUAAAUACACGUUGAUUUCUAACUCA
ensembl:lncRNA novel transcript